CUGGUGUUCUAACGUGGGCCCCUAAUCGGGGUUGCGGACAGUGUCUGGUGGGUAGUUUGACUGGGGCGGUCUCCUCCUAAAGAGUAACGGAGGAGCACGAAGGUCAGCUAAUCCUGGUCGGACAUCAGGAGGUUAGUGCAAUGGCAUAAGCUGGCUUGACUGCGAGCGUGACGGCGCGAGCAGGUGCGAAAGCAGGUCAUAGUGAUCCGGUGGUUCUGAAUGGAAGGGCCAUCGCUCAACGGAUAAAAGGUACUCCGGGGAUAACAGGCUGAUACCGCCCAAGAGUUCAUAUCGACGGCGGUGUUUGGCACCUCGAUGUCGGCUCAUCACAUCCUGGGGCUGAAGUAGGUCCCAAGGGUAUGGCUGUUCGCCAUUUAAAGUGGUACGCGAGCUGGGUUUAGAACGUCGUGAGACAGUUCGGUCCCUAUCUGCCGUGGGCGCUGGAGAAUUGAGGGGGGCUGCUCCUAGUACGAGAGGACCGGAGUGGACGCAUCACUGGUGUUCGGGUUGUCAUGCCAAUGGCAUUGCCCGGUAGCUAAAUGCGGAAGAGAUAAGUGCUGAAAGCAUCUAAGCACGAAACUUGCC
rnacentral:rRNA from 1 species